rnacentral:sRNA from 1 species
UCAUGGGGGGAUCGCCAUCCGUCAGCGCGUUGCGCCCACGGGUGCCUUUCCG